UAUAUUUAAGUAUAAGAUGUAUAAAAGUUUUUGAUACUUUAGGGAAUAGUUUGAUUCUAUUAAAUAUAA
rnacentral:tRNA from 1 species